rnacentral:rRNA from 1 species
UACGUAGGGGGCUAGCGUUGUCCGGAAUCAUUGGGCGUAAAGCGCGUGUAGGCGGUUCGGUAAGUCCGCUGUGAAAGUCGGGGGCUCAACCCUCGAAAGCCGGUGGAUACUGUCGGACUAGAGUGCGGAAGAGGCGAGUGGAAGUUCCUGGUGUAGCGGUGAAAUGCGCAGAUAUCAGGAGGAACACCGGUGGCGAAGGCGGGUCUCUGGGCAGUAACUGACGCUGGAGGAGCGAAAGCGUGGGGAGCGAACAGG